rnacentral:rRNA from 1 species
CUUGAUGAACGCUAGCGACAGGCUUAACACAUGCAAGUCGAGGGGCAGCGGGGGUAGCGAUACCCGCCGGCGACCGGCGCACGGGUGAGUAACGCGUAUGCAACUUGCCUAUCAGAGGGGGAUAACCCGGCGAAAGUCGGACUAAUACCGCAUGAAGCAGGGAUCCCGCAUGGGAAUAUUUGCUAAAGAUUCAUCGCUGAUAGAUAGGCAUGCGUUCCAUUAGGCAGUUGGCGGGGUAACGGCCCACCAAACCGACGAUGGAUAGGGGUUCUGAGAGGAAGGUCCCCCACAUUGGUACUGAGACACGGACCAAACUCCUACGGGAGGCAGCAGUGAGGAAUAUUGGUCAAUGGGCGCGAGCCUGAACCAGCCAAGUCGCGUGAGGGAUGAAGGUUCUAUGGAUCGUAAACCUCUUUUAUAAGGGAAUAAAGUGCGGGACGUGUCCCGUUUUGUAUGUACCUUAUGAAUAAGGAUCGGCUAACUCCGUGCCAGCAGCCGCGGUAAUACGGAGGAUCCGAGCGUUAUCCGGAUUUAUUGGGUUUAAAGGGUGCGUAGGCGGCCUUUUAAGUCAGCGGUGAAAGUCUGUGGCUCAACCAUAGAAUUGCCGUUGAAACUGGGAGGCUUGAGUAUGUUUGAGGCAGGCGGAAUGCGUGGUGUAGCGGUGAAAUGCUUAGAUAUCACGCAGAACCCCGAUUGCGAAGGCAGCCUGCCAAGCCAUGACUGACGCUGAUGCACGAAAGCGUGGGGAUCAAACAGGAUUAGAUACCCUGGUAGUCCACGCAGUAAACGAUGAUCACUAGCUGUUUGCGAUACAUUGUAAGCGGCACAGCGAAAGCGUUAAGUGAUCCACCUGGGGAGUACGCCGGCAACGGUGAAACUCAAAGGAAUUGACGGGGGCCCGCACAAGCGGAGGAACAUGUGGUUUAAUUCGAUGAUACGCGAGGAACCUUACCCGGGUUUGAACGCAUUCGGACCGAGGUGGAAACACCUUUUCUAGCAAUAGCCGUUUGCGAGGUGCUGCAUGGUUGUCGUCAGCUCGUGCCGUGAGGUGUCGGCUUAAGUGCCAUAACGAGCGCAACCCUUGCCACUAGUUACUAACAGGUAAAGCUGAGGACUCUGGUGGGACUGCCAGCGUAAGCUGCGAGGAAGGCGGGGAUGACGUCAAAUCAGCACGGCCCUUACAUCCGGGGCGACACACGUGUUACAAUGGCGUGGACAAAGGGAAGCCACCUGGCGACAGGGAGCGAAUCCCCAAACCACGUCUCAGUUCGGAUCGGAGUCUGCAACCCGACUCCGUGAAGCUGGAUUCGCUAGUAAUCGCGCAUCAGCCAUGGCGCGGUGAAUACGUUCCCGGGCCUUGUACACACCGCCCGUCAAGCCAUGGGAGCCGGGGGUACCUGAAGUCCGUAACCGAAAGGAUCGGCCUAGGGUAAAAC